rnacentral:rRNA from 1 species
GGACGAACGCUGGCGGCGUGCUUAACACAUGCAAGUCGAGCGGUAAGGCCCUUUCGGGGGUACGACGAGCGGCGAACGGGUGAGUAACACGUGGGUGACCUGCCCUUAGCUCUGGGAUAAGCCUGGGAAACUGGGUCUAAUACCGGAUAUGACUCCAUGACGCAUGUUGUGGGGUGGAAAGCCUUGUGCGGCUAGGGAUGGGCCUGCGGCCUAUCAGCUUGUUGGUGGGGUGAUGGCCUACCAAGGCGACGACGGGUAGCCGGCCUGAGAGGGCGACCGGCCACACUGGGACUGAGACACGGCCCAGACUCCGUACGGGAGGCAGCAGUGGGGAAUCUUGCGCAAUGGGCGAAAGCCUGACGCAGCGACGCCGCGUGGGGAUGACGG